CCGCACCUCCAGGGACUGACUGCCCCACGGCACGGGCGCCUGGUGAAACCUGCUGACAAAAAGCGCGUGCUGGAAAUUGAUGGAGAGAAUAUAGGCUCCUCCUGAAACUGCUUCUCACAUCUUUUAAUACGGUCUUCUACUAAGUUACUUUAUUUACUUCAUUACAAAUAAAGCUGCA